rnacentral:rRNA from 1 species
CGUAUCACCCAAGACAACUUUACGGAGUUGACGAUUGACGGAGCGAAGCGACGUCAAAGCGUUCAUUAAAGUCGAGUUGGCUUAGGGAUACGUUCGUUGGGUAGGGGAGCGUUCUGUAAGCCUGUGAAGGUGUGUCGUGAGGCAUGCUGGAGGUAUCAGAAGUGCGAAUGCUGACAUAAGUAACGAUAAAGCGGGUGAAAAGCCCGCUCGCCGGAAGACCAAGGGUUCCUGUCCAACGUUAAUCGGGGCAGGGUGAGUCGACCCCUAAGGCGAGGCCGAAAGGCGUAGUCGAUGGGAAACGGGUUAAUAUUCCCGUACUUGGUGUUACUGCGAAGGGGGGACGGAGAAGGCUAUGUUGGCCGGGCGACGGUUGUCCCGGUUUAAGCGUGUAGGUGUGUGUUCCAGGUAAAUCCGGUUCACUUUAACACUGAGGCGUGACGACGAGGCACUACGG